rnacentral:rRNA from 1 species
GGCUGUUGCUGCUUCCGUCUACUGGGAUAUGUGCACGCUUGUCAUCUUUAUCAUUUCUCCAACUGUGCACAUNUUGUAGACCCUGGAGGUUAUUUGUUAUGGAUUUUAAUUCCGAGUUGGGACUGCUGUGCUACAAUGUCAGCUUUCUCUUGAGUUAUUUCCAGGGCCUAUGUCAUUUCAACCUCUCAAACCUGUUUAGAAUGUUGAAUCAGGUCUUUUGUACCUAUAAAAGUUAUAAUACAACUUUCAGCAACGGAUCUCUUGGCUCUCGCAUCGAUGAAGAACGCAGCGAAAUGCGAUAAGUAAUGUGAAUUGCAGAAUUCAGUGAAUCAUCGAAUCUUUGAACGCAUCUUGCGCUCCUUGGUAUUCCGAGGAGCAUGCCUGUUUGAGUGUCAUUUGAAUUCUCAACCGCAUCNAUUUAAUUUUUGAUGUGGCUUUGGACAUGGGGGUUUGUGCAGGCUUUCCUUUUGAGUCAGCUCCCCUGAAAUGUAUUAGUGGUAUCUGGAGCAGAAACUGCUAGGUGUGAUAAUAUCAUCUAUGCCUGUGGUAUGCUGCAUGAACAGAUUGUGCUGCUUCUAACACACAUCUUGAUGUUUGACAAACUUGACCUCAAAUCAGGUAGGACUACCCGCUGAACUUAAGCAUAUCAAUAA